UUUGGGGUUUUUUUCUUAAGUAGAAUUCAUUGACCCCCUCACUAAAAAUGUUUAUCCAAUGUGAUUUCCAUCAGAUGGAUAGUGACCUUGUUUUCUUCUUCAAACCUUUUCUUUAAGUGUUGUUUCAAACUUAAUUCCAUGCUGUCACAUCACAUGCAGCUUUUGCCAGUCCCAUCUGCUGAGGAACACAGCUGGAAGGCUAAAGCCACUUGUGAUGCCUUGCACUCAAGAAACACUCAUCUUAAAACAAAUCUCUUUAAAAUAUACUGCCAAAUGCCAUCUUUAUAGAUCUCUCAGCUUACUGUCACAGAAAAGGACCAGAAACACAAUGGGUAUGGAAAGAAGUGAUUGCUACCUGUCCAUCUGAUGCUAAAUGGGGAUUGCUAAUUAGGGAAAUUCUCUAAUUCAAAAUUAUUCACUGAUCCACCCAUUGCUAUUUUUUAACAUAGUAAUCCUUUCCUAGUGCUUGCUGAAACUAAACAUUUGGAAGCAAGGAGAAUGGUUUGAAGGAGUAAAAAAUGAGCAGAGCAUUUGAACAAUGCUAUAUAAUUCUCUUCCUGCACUAUGAGCAGUCAAAUUAGGCUACUUUAAAAUUAGCUAUAAUUUGCAUAACAUAUUUUACUGUUAUAAUUCACUGUCUGUAUUUAUAGCCAUUUCAUAAGAAAAAUCAAGCUUUUUUUUGUUGCUAGAGUAUGUGAUUUGUAUGAAAACUGUGUCUAAAUUGUACUAUGGUUGUUUUUUCAGAAGAAAAAGCCAGACAAAGGGGCAUUGUAAUGUUGCAAGUUUAGAACACUGUAUAAGAUCAUUCCAGCCCCCGUGAUUUAGCAGUUGCUUCAUUUACCAAUGCUUUUGCUUUCCCUACUUAACUAAACAAAGCAAAACCUUUUGCAAUAACUGAUCAUCUGAAAUAAAAGACACACACACACACAUCACAGCUCUGAAUUAAAACGGACUAGAAAUCAGUUGAAAAAGCACAAAACUUUGGGAUAUUUGCAUAUUCAUCAAGAAGAGAAAAAGAAACUAAAUGCCAAUGUUCUGCUAAUCUACACUUUUCCCAGAGCCUGACGAAGAGACUUGGAUUCCCGGAAGCUUGUAGAAAAGGACAAUUUUCUUGCCACUUCCCAGUUGGUCUAAUAAAAGGUAUCAUUUUGGAACCAAGAGUUCUAGUUUUUUGUAUGUCUUUUUGUCUCAGACCAACACAGCUACCAAGUACACCCCUGACACAUGGAAGAUCCCGAAUUUCAGCUGAUUUUGGAUUUUAAACUUCAUUGCAGAACAACAAGGAAGGUUUUUUUUGCCUCCCUACCUACCAUCUGACACCUCCAGGGAAGGAAUUCUACCUGAUCAACACAUCAAAGAGCUACUCAACGCAGCUCAGAAAGACACUCUCAUGGGCCCAGAGGGACAGACUUCUGUAUUCUGCUCCCUCUGUGCAAAAAUGAAGUUUAUUUCUGACUUAUGGGGACUUUUUACCACGUUGUACCAUCUACACUUUUCCCAGAGCCUGAUGAAGGGACUUUGAUUCCCGAAAGCCUGCAGAAAAGGACAAUUUUUCUUGCCAUAUUCCAGUUGGUCUAAUAAAAGGUAUCAUUUUGGAACCAAGAGUUCUAGUUUUUUGUAUGUCUUAAUGUUCUGCUAAGGAAGUUAGUUAUCUGGCCCCAGAAAUCACUGCAUUAGCAGAGUGCACCAAAUAGAGCCAGAGAUAAAAGGUCAUUUAUUGCACAUUGUAUUUUUCAGAGAUUUAAGCUGUAAUGGCCCAGAUAUGUCUUUACCUUGCCUUGGAAUUGCCACUCAGCAACAGGUACCUCAUCGGAGACUGUGCUAGCCUGAAAAUUUUCUGAACAAAAUUUGCAGAAGCUCUGUGUGGCGGUUCUGUAUUCCAGAACGAUCUGAGGGAGCCAUCUCAUCUUAUCAGUGCAUUAAGCAGAAGCACACAUUACUGCUCUCCCACCUGAUUUCAUGUUAGAUGGACCUGCUCUAUUAAUCUGCCUACAAUAUAAAAUCCUGAAAUGAAUCUCACCAAGAGGGUCCAGUCCCUUUCUCAUUCAUUACUGGAAGGAUUCACAUGAGUCAAGACUACUCCUGCUCCUAAGCAUAUAAGAAUGUAUGCCCCUAGGUGACAGAUUUCGGACCAGAAAGUCAUGAUUUCAAGUCUCAGCCCAUGAUUUGGGCUCAUAUCUAAUCUGGACAUUGUAGCACUAGGCUGCUGCUCUUCUCCAGAUGGAGCCCACCCUGAGAGUGAUGCUGGCGGCCAGGCAUGCAGACUAACCAUUCUCUGCCUGUUCCCCUGAGACGGUGUGGGCAGCUACAAGCAUAGUUGACUGCAAGGCAACCGUGUCCUGGUGGGAACAAUCCAUAGAUGGACUUCCAACAUGGAGUACAGGCAGAUGACAGAACGGUAAGAAAACAUACAGGAAGAUUUAGCUUGGGUCAAGACAAGUAAGAAACAAAUGUACUCAUAUUGCUAAUCAUUUACAAGGCAUGGCAAAUGCUUCACUUUUUGUCAAUUGCACUGUCUGCUGAAACAAUAAAAAAUGACAUAAUGGUGAAAUGAUAAAAUAUUUUUAAAAUAAAGAUAAUGCAGGAGGAAAAAUGUAUGGCCUUUUAUCAUUAAAAAUGCAUUUAUAGAAGUUCUACUUCAUGCAUGAUUUGCAGCAGAAGCAUCAACCAGAUGUUUGUUAAAUGAUAUCUGAAUAUCAAAGUAUUAAAAAAGGACCUUGUUUUAGUUAGUCUAUAAGCCAGUAUUCUUUUCUCUUUCUUUGUUUCUCUUUGCUAAGAAUAUUCUAUAUCUGGUACAUCAUGAUUGGCUUGCUGUUUCCUUUUCUAAUACAGUUAGUAAAUAAGCCUUAUUAUCAUUAUUUAUUAUUUGGUUCUUGUAUUGCCCACAAUGAAGGGUUUAUGCUAAAUGGGAAUGCUGAAGAAACAGAUUAAGGAUGUGUUACAGAUCUCCCCAGGACUCUUAUCUGGUACAUCCCUGGCCUUACCUGGUCUCUCUGAGUGAAGCUAACUCAGGCUUCUAGGAUGUGGGGGAGCCCCAACUCCUUCCAGUUCUGAGACCCUGGCCUUUUGGUUCAUUGCCCCUCCCUGGUUUUCUGUGGUGCUGCCUCAGGAAGCUUCCUUCCAGUUCAGCUCCUGAAUGAGGGUCUUAAUAGGUUGAAGUGUACUCCGAAGGCCCAAGUAACAAAGCAGAUAGCUUCUCUUUCUUUUUCUUUAUUGGAGCAAAGGAAGGCCACCCAGCCAGAGGUCCUCUGACUUCUCCAAAGGGUGGAGAAGUUCUCCUCUUCCUUAUCUAACCUGCAAAAUCCUAAGCACGCCAAAGUUAGCUGACCUAUUGUGUCUCCAGUCUGCACAGCCAUGAGCCCCAAAGCUCCUCUACCAUUUGCCUUCCUCUGAGUAGCCCAGUUUACGGUGGAUUCUCCAGGUGUCUAUACAUGUGCUCCAGGGUGGGGCUGUAAGGGAGUGCACUUUAAUUAGAGUGGCUCUGAGAGCUGCUCUAAUUAAAGUGCCCUUGGCAUCCCAUGUAUCCAGCGUCCUAUGCUUCAAAAUGGUGGCGGGGCUGCUAAUUAUAGUUUCAUAGCUGAUAGGGCUGGAAGGGACCUGAGCAGAUCAUCAAGUCCGACCCCCUGCCAUGGGCAGGAAAGAAUGCUGGGGUCAAACAACCCUGGCUAGGUGACUAUCUAGCCUCCUUUUGAAGACCCCCAGGGUAAGAGCGAGCACCACUUCCCUUGGAAGUUUGUUUCAGAUCCUGGACGCCCUGACUGUGAAGUAGUGCCUCCUGAUAUCUAGCCUGAAUCUACUCUCAAUCAACUUGUGGCCAUUAUUCCUAAUUACUCCUGGUAGUCCUUGGGGGAACAGGGACUCACUCAUUCUCUGCUGGUCCCCCAAGUAAGUUUAUAGAUGGUCACUAGAUCCCCUCUCAGCCUUCUCUUGUGGAGGCUGAACAAGUUCAGGUCCUGUAGCCUCUCCUUGUAGGGCCUGCCCCCUGAGCAUGCGAGUGGCCCUCCUCUGGACCCUCUUAAUGCUGUCCUCAUCCCUCCAGCAGACUCACAUCAUGCUCCAGCAGACUCAUAGCAGACUCGAUUAAUCAAGUCUGCUCAAGCAGAGCUCCGUCAUGUGUGUAGGUGCCCCUUGUUUCCUUGGGUGCUUUGUGCAUUGUCAUGUUUAUUUCACUCUUUUUCCUGGCAUCCCACCCGGUUGAAGGUUAACGUAGCUAUUCAAGUCCCAGCAGAUGCUGAAGAUACAUCUUGUCUUAUCCCACCAUAUAGGCAGCUCUGGCACUUAGCAGGUCCUCUAUUAACUCUUUAUUCCGUGUGCAUGGCUAGUCAGGAAAAUGGAGGCAUGGAACAUAAACACUUUUUAAAACAGAAAGAAAUUCAAAUAAAUCCCAUAGUCCAUCACAGGUUAUACUGAAAUUGGCACAACUGGACAAGCCAUUAAUUGCAAUAUAAUCAUACCCAUUUAACCUAACGGGGUCCAUACUUUUUGGUAAGAUGUUUGGUUGACUGGAGUUUAAUUAAUAUGUUUUCUGAUAAUUAGUCCACAUCUUAAUGUGUUUAAAAGAAACACUGAUACUUUAUCUUGGGGUGUGCGGUGGCCCCAUGAACACAUGGUGAGGGCUGCCUUGCUAAAGCCACACACUACACUUGGUCUUAGCCAAAAGGCCGUACAUUUAUGCUUGAUUUAUGACUGUGUGAGUGAAAGUAAAGAAAGGGGAAGAGAAGAAACACAGAUCAGCUGUUUCUUCUGCAUCUCUUCAGGACAGAACUACUUUCAAAGUUAUAGGCUGUACAUGAAACAUUUAGCCAUUGUUCCGGAUAGGCAUUCAUUGCUGGGAAAUGCAUAUGUAGAUAGUUCAUAUUUUAGAACACUUGAGAGAUCAUAGAACUUUAAACAGCUUCUACUGCUUCAGAUGAAGAUGUCAGCAGUAGCACAGCUAGCAAAGUGUGAUGUGAAAUAUUCCAUAUGCCAGACUGAAAUAAUCACAACUGAGAGCCAUUACAUAACUAGAGCUGUUUUGGCUGGGGUUGACUGACAGUGCUUAAUAUUCAAUUAAGAACCAUGUUAUUAGGCUCAGAUGCUGAUGCAAAUCUAAAAGAAGGCUUAAUUUGUUUGACCCUUGUAACCCCCUAACUUUGAUUUUAUAUGAGACUGUGCCUAAUGCAUUUUAUGUAACCAAGGAAUACAACAUUUUUACAUUAUGAGGAGAAGAUGUCCAGUUGCUGCUCUAAAAGCCUACUUAAGUUUUCCUGGUAUAUUGAUUUUUUUAAAAAAAGAAACAAGCUUAGAGAACCUUUAACCUACAAUAAAUCUUUUUUUAUUUGCUAACCUAAACAGGAACUAAUCAUUGGUGCAAAGGAUUAACAGACACAGGAGACAAGAUUAUACAUUUUAAAUUUUACUUUAGAGUCUUGGGGGAAUGCUGUAGUGUGGAAUUGGAUUAACCUUUUUGACACUUUUUUCUAAUAACCCAGAAGCUACAGUAUAAGACUUAUUCUCCUGACAAUCAGCAUGGAUACUCUGUUUCUUGGGUAGGUUCCACAGACGUGCAUGGAAAGAUGCAUACUUUAUCAAAAACAAUGUGAAUAACGCUAAAAUCUAUUUGUUAUGUCUGAGUGUGUAGGCAAAGAUUACUCUUUCAUUAUCUAUAAAUUAUCCAUAGAAUCUAUAAAUGAGCUGAGACGUUGUAUGUCCGGAGAGCCAAAAGAUGCUAACAGUAACCAGUUAAUGGCAUGUGUUGUGAGCUACUAAUUCUUAUUUUUUUUCUACAGACAAAAUACUAGCUGCAGAUGGAUUUGCUUUAACCAGGUCUUUCUGUGAAAUAUUUUCCCAGAACAGUCAGCACUCCCUCGACUGGAAUUAUCUGUUCAAUUCUAAAGCAUAGCACAAUUCAAAGAAAUUACAGUUUGGAUGAAUUUGAAAUCUAAAAUGUGAGCAUAGUCUAUGACAUGUUUUAAGAGUUCAGCUACAAUUCUGAGAUGGAAAGUUAUCAAACUUUAGCUAUUCAGGCACCGAGAACAAAUUGAAAAACAGAGAACACAGGUUAAAUUCUGUAUUGUAACCAGUAUGUACCGGAAGGAAGAAUCAGUUAUGGGUCCCUGAGCCUCUGGUAGAUAUCUGCUAGCUCUUUUCCUAUUGCACAUGGAAGCACCCUUUAUAUUUCUGUUAUCAACACGAGCAGAACUUGGCUACCAUGGGCUAUCCUCUAGGUAGCUAUAGAGUGGCAUGAAGUAGUGUGUGGCAGGUACACUACACACUGUCCUGGUGCUACAUGUGGAAAUAUAAGGGGAAUGAUAUAGAAACUGGCUGAGGAGGCUUUACACAGGCUUGUGCUGGGACAGCCUAUUGGUUUUUUGGUCCCUUUGUCUCACCAGAGCAAUGCAAAGUGGGCAAAACAGAGCAGACACUGGUCCUGAGUUGACUCUAAAAUCAUAUCCAUGUUUAAAACCACAUCUCUGUUAUAGAAAAAAAUGAGCAUACAAAAACAGAACAGGCUUAUAUAAUUUGCAGUUCCAUAUCUCUCCAGUUUCUUUUGGCUUUGCUAGCAUCUUAAAACUUGCUGGGACAACUUGUACCUUUGCUAAGACAAAUUUUCACUUUUUCCCUUUUUUUUGCCACUACACCUAAUCCAGCAUGUCCUGCCAUUUGUGUAGACAUUUCCUGACAGAGUGUUGACUUUUUAUCUGUCAGUCCUCCCCUCACUCUACUUGUAAUUUGGCCCAAAAUUUCCUUUCUGAUGUAAAUCCUUCUGUUACUUCUUUACCCAGUUGCCUUUUGAUGUUUCCUUUCACUUUAUUGCCUUUCCCCUAUAAGUUCUGACACACAAAGGUGCGGUGUAGGAGAUGUUGCUGAGAGUUGCAAAGACGCAUAGGGCAAACUUGGCAAACCUGGCAUAAUUAGUUGCCCACAGACCUGCUCUAAGUUUUAGGAUCAUCCCUAGACCUGUCUUUGACUUGUGGAGCAAACAGUAAUGGACAUGGCACCAGUAAUGGACACACAUGAAAUACACUUCUGUCACACCUCCCCCAGUUCUUUCCUAGUUUAAGCCCAACUCACUUAAGCCCAAGUCUUCGGUAUUAGGGUUUCUAGGUUAGGAGGUGAGCAUGAGCGACUGGUGCCUCCUGAAUCUGGGGGGCGCCCGCACAAGCCACCGACCCUGUCAGGGGGGGCACCAGUCCUACCGACAGCAUCAGUGUCAGCCAUCGGGGGGCACCGGCCCAUUGAGAGGGCACAUGCAUCCCCGUGCACCCCCUACCAGUUGCCCAUGGAGGUGAGGUAGGUUCUAGCACAAGCCUGAAAAUGAUCUAUUCAUUUGACUCUUAAUCAGUCUACUGCACUGAUUUCUUUUACUGCUACUCAGUUACCAAAUCUCCACAAAUGUUCUUGUUCAUUGAACUGUUAUUUUUGCUCAGUUGCAUUGUUCUUGUUGCUUUUUGUUGUCCACAUUUUGUUAAAGACAGCAUGUCUUUCAAAAGAGAGGUCACAAAAUUAUUUUAAAUUGCAGUGGGCUAGAAUUAUAACUAAACCUAUGUCCCAAACUAUUCAAAGAAGUUUCCUAACAAUGUAUUUUUAAAGCUGCUUCCUGGCUUUUACAUUUUUCUCAUUCAUAUUAUUUAGGAAGCCAAAACAAUUUACCGGCAGCUGCUUAGCACUUUUUGUUUGAUAGUUUCUAGCUUUUCAGGUAACCUUAACCUAGAUUUAUCUUCUAACAAGUCUAUUUUUACAUAGUUUUAUAUUUCAUGUGAUAUUGUAUAAAUACCUGUAAUUAAUAAAUGCAUUAAAAAAUCA